rnacentral:rRNA from 1 species
UACAGAGGUCCCAAGCGUUGUUCGGAUUUACUGGGCGUAAAGGGUGCGUAGGUGGCAGUGCAAGUUUGAUGUGAAAGCUUCGAGCUUAACUCGAAAAUGGCAUUGAAUACUGGAUUGCUGGAGGGUUGGAUGGGGGACUAGAAUUCUCGGUGUAGCAGUGAAAUGCGUAGAUAUCGAGAGGAACACCAGUGGCGAAGGCGAGUCCCUGGACAACUCCUGACACUGAGGCACGAAAGCUAGGGGAGCAAACAGG